UUUUGAUGAAAAAUAGCAUAGUAAGAUAACAUGACAUCAAGCAUCUAAAAAUCUAUCCCAGCUCUUCGUCUCCCUCAUCUUGAAAAAGUCCACGUCAUCCAUUGAUAACAAAUUUUGAUGGAAGCGGGAACUGCUCCCACUCUCACACUCACUCCUCGAUUGCAUACUCGCUUUCCCUUUAACACUUCCAAUUCAAAUAUCUUAUUUCAACCGCGCUUCACUCUUUCGUCUCCUUUAUCUUCUUCCUUUUCCGCUUUCAGUUACAGAGGCCCCACUCCAAAACGCGAUUUCCUCGCUGACUGGGUUUCCCAAAACGAUGACGUCGUCCGCACCCUCCCAAUCUACGUCGGCUCGGCUUCCCUCUUCGCCGUCCUCCUCAACCGCGCCCUCUCCGGCAUCGCCCCUGUCGCCGACGCCGGCAGUUCGCAGUCCAGAGCUGACCUUUUGACUUUGGGAUUGGCGGUUACCAAUAUUUUGACUGGCCUCGUUUGGCUUUCAAUAAAACCUAAGUCUAUAACUGUGGUAAAUCCUCGAGGAGUUGAAUGCAAGAGAUUUUGCACUACACUUCCUGAAGUUGCACUUAACGAGUUGCUUUGGGUGUGGGAAUCUCUGUCAGAUGCCACUUGUUGUCGUUCGCUCGUUGUUGUUUAUGAGAGAAGUUGUGUACUCCAAAUAGGUUUUGCUGCAGAUUCUUCUCCUGGGAAUGGUGAGGCUGUAAGUGUGGAUGCCAAUAAAUUGAUGCAAGGAUCAGUAUACCAGGGAGUUAUGAAAUCUGGUGCUCAGAGUUACUUGGCAAAUUUAUCUCUUUAUCCUGGAAAAUCUGAGCUGCCAUUUCUACCUUUAAAUACUCAGGUAUUGUUUUGUAUGUAUCAAACUUGUCUAGUUAACUAAUGCGACGUGUCUAUGUUAUGCAAUAUUACUGUGUGCUCUAACUAGUUUCUCUUGGAUGUCUUUCAAAAAUCAUGUUGAAGCACAAGCUUUUGUCUAGAAAGAGAGAAACAUGGGGUGUGUUAGUAUAUGGGUACAAGUGAGAGUCUUGAAGCCUGGCUGUUUGUCCAAUUAAUUCUGGGAGUGGAUAGCUUGAAUGACUUUUAAUAGUUUUUGGCAACUGGUGUACUCGAGUUUUUGGAGUAAGACCCUUGAAUAGAAGCUCUUUAUAUUUUAAUCUGAAUAUAGUAGUUUUUAUUUCAACAUAUAAAACAAUUAACAAAAUCAGUACUUUUAGUCCUGUAAUUUAAUUUUUUUCUUCGGUUUGAUCCUUUAACAUUUAUUUAUUUUUUACUUUGGUCAUCUAUUAUGUGUCUAACUAAUUGGUCCUUUCCCGUAGUUUUAUUUAACUCUGUUGAUGGCAUUUCAUAUGGAAAUGCGUUAAAAAUAACGGUGUUCCAAUCUUUAUGGAGAACCAAACUACCAAGGGCAUUGCUCUACCUUAUUUCCAAAAGUCUUCUGCUUGCCCCUGUUUUUCCAGGGGGAGACUGGUACUAUUGGGUCUACACCAACUGACCUCCUUUGUUAUCAAUGACUUUUUGUUGAUUUCGUUAAUAUCUACCAUCUAAUUGCAAAAGUUGCUCAUUCGAUUAUUAGUAUUUUGUUAGGCAGUAAUUUUACAGCCACUUGGAGAUAAAGGAAUUGCAAUUAUCGGUGGUGACACGAUACGAGGUUACACUGCUUCUGAUCAGGCAUGGAUCACUUAUAUUGGAGAGAAGCUG